rnacentral:rRNA from 1 species
CAGCAGCCACGGUAAUACGGAGGGUGCAAGCGUUAAUCGGAAUUACUGGGCGUAAAGCGCACGCAGGCGGUCUGACAAGUCAGAUGUGAAAUCCCCGGGCUUAACCUGGGAACUGCAUUUGAAACUGUCAGGCUGGAGUCUUGUAGAGGGGGGUGGAAUUCCAGGUGUAGCGGUGAAAUGCGUAGAGAUCUGGAGGAAUACCGGUGGCGAAGGCGGCCCCCUGGACAAAGACUGACGCUCAGGUGCGAAAGCGUGGGGAGCAAACAGGAUUAGAUACCCCAGUAGUCCCUGUCUCUUAUAU